AUUGAACGCUGGCGGCAUGCUUUACACAUGCAAGUCGAACGGUAACAGGUCUUCGGAUGCUGACGAGUGGCGAACGGGUGAGUAAUGCAUCGGAACGUGCCUAGUAGUGGGGGAUAACUACUCGAAAGAGUAGCUAAUACCGCAUGAGAUCUACGGAUGAAAGCAGGGGACCUUCGGGCCUUGUGCUACUAGAGCGGCUGAUGGCAGAUUAGGUAGUUGGUGGGGUAAAGGCUUACCAAGCCUGCGAUCUGUAGCUGGUCUGAGAGGACGACCAGCCACACUGGGACUGAGACACGGCCCAGACUCCUACGGGAGGCAGCAGUGGGGAAUUUUGGACAAUGGGCGAAAGCCUGAUCCAGCAAUGCCGCGUGCAGGAUGAAGGCCCUCGGGUUGUAAACUGCUUUUGUACGGAACGAAAAGCCUGGGGCUAAUAUCCCCGGGUCAUGACGGUACCGUAAGAAUAAGCACCGGCUAACUACGUG
rnacentral:rRNA from 1 species